ACACUCCCACAGCAUUGUCUGCUCCUCUCUAGAUUAAUCACGGUUCAUGUUUUCUUGGGCCUCCGUGACGAAACGCACAGGUAUAAAAGCGCACCUGGUGACGUUUAGUUGCCAAAGGCGAACAGGCAAGAGGAAGGAUUUGGUCUACCUACAGAGCGAAGGGGAGAAGACGAACUACAUGAAAAUGAUUUCAAAUAUCCAAUUUUUCUGUUUAACUGCGCUUGUACUUCUGAAUUUGGUCGGAGCCAACCCAAUGUCAAACCUACAGAGCUUGAAACAGCUUCUGGAGGAGGAGAGUCGUUUACCAUAUUACGCGUCGGAGGAGAUGGGGGUGGAUGGGAAAGACUUGAAUACAGAGAACAUCGCGGAAGAGGUGCCUCCUUGGGACUCCGAAGACGCAAGGAAUUCUGCGCUGACGGGAAAGGAGGACGUAAUUGCGCGUCUUCUCAAUGACAUUAUGACGACCCCCAAGCGCUCGUGGAGCCGGUUCAAGAAGGGUGGACUGAGAAGCUGCUUCGGCGUCAGGCUAGAGCGAAUUGGGUCAUUCAGUGGGCUUGGAUGCUAAAGGACAGGGUUUGGGGUGUUGAUCAGAGCACAAGAAACUACCCUUACUUGAACUCUUCAACAAGGAUGAACCUCUUCACCUCAGAAAGUCUCGACUGAGAGUUUACAAUGGCGUUUGUGAUGAGAUGUAUUUAAAUUUGUGGUUCGCAUUUGGAAUAUUUAAAUGGUUAUUAUUUUAGAACUGUAUACUGAUGAAUUUUCACUUUUGUCUCUUGGUAUAAUAUACUAUUGUUGUAUGUAUUUAUCUAUUUAUUUUCUUGUAAGAAAAAGAACGUGCAGACUUGCGAUAGAUUGUAGCCUAAUGCGCUGAAAUAAAUAUUUUGCAUAAUAAAUUACUUUGUUGUGAA